UCCUACGGGAGGCUGCAGUGGGGAAUUUUGGACAAUGGGCGCAAGCCUGAUCCAGCCAUUCCGCGUGCAGGACGAAGGCCUUCGGGUUGUAAACUGCUUUUGUACGGAACGAAAAGGCUCUGGCUAAUACCUGGGGCCCAUGACGGUACCGUAAGAAUAAGCACCGGCUAACUACGUGCCAGCAGCCGCGGUAAUACGUAGGGUGCAAGCGUUAAUCGGAAUUACUGGGCGUAAAGCGUGCGCAGGCGGUUAUGUAAGACAGAGGUGAAAUCCCCGGGCUCAACCUGGGAACUGCCUUUGUGACUGCAUAGCUGGAGUACGGCAGAGGGGGAUGGAAUUCCGCGUGUAGCAGUGAAAUGCGUAGAUAUGCGGAGGAACACCGAUGGCGAAGGCAGUCCCCUGGGCCUGUACUGACGCUCAUGCACGAAAGCGUGGGGAGCAAACAGGAUUAGAUACCCGGGUAGUCAG
rnacentral:rRNA from 1 species